GCAUCUGGCAGUCAAUUUUAGUGCAGGCGAUACGGUCUUCGGUGUAAUAAAAUUUUAUCUGUGGCAUAAAUAAAUUUGAAAUGGUUCGAGUUUGGAUUCCGUGGGACGUUUUCCGAUUUGAUUUUCUGUGAAACAAAAUAUUUUCAGUUUUUUCUACAUGUACACGCAGCCUAACAGGAAGAUUUUGUGCAAUAGAUGUGAAUGAAAGUUGUCAGCCCGAGGUGAAGCCGAGUGCAUCAUAUAUGCACAAAAUUCCGGUUUAUGCACAAGGUUGGUUUGUUCAGGGCUGAGAUCUUCAUUUUUACAAACAUCUUCUUCACGCACUAGUGCUCAUUUAUGAUAAAAUCAAUUUAGACACUGAUGUACAUAAUAGUUAUUUAUGUAACAAGAAUCGUAUGGAGGUAUAUUAUCGCACUAGAUGUCGGCUUUGCCUCGGAUUGGCAAGCUUCGUGUGUGAUAAUAUACCAACAUACGAGUGAUAAAGCAAAAAAUCAUUUCAUUUUUAUGAAGUAAGAGAUUUUGAAUCUAACGCUCUGCGAAAUCUAAAGCAAAAGAUGUAGCAGAUUGAAUGAAUGAUUG